rnacentral:misc_RNA from 1 species
UCUCCGUAGGUGAACCUGCGGAGGGAUCAUUACAGAGUUCAUGCCCUACCGGGUAGAUCUCCCACCCUAUGUUAUUAUUACUUCGUUGCUUUGGCGGGCCGUUAGGCUCCGGCCCGACUACCGGCCCCGGCUGGUAAGCGCCCGCCAGAGGACCCAAAACCCUGAAUAUUAGUGUCGUCUGAGUACUAUAUAAUAGUUAAAACUUGCAACAACGGAUCUCUUGGUUCUG